rnacentral:rRNA from 1 species
GACGAACGCUGGCGGCGUGCUUAACACAUGCAAGUCGAACGGAAAGGCCCUGCUUUCGUGGGGUGAUCGAGUGGCGAACGGGUGAGUAACAGGUGAGUAACCUGCCCUUGACUUUGGGAUAACUUCAGGAAACUGGGGCUAAUACCGUAUAGGAGCUCCUGCUGCAUGGUGGGGGUUGGAAAGUCUCGGCUGUCGGGGAUGGACUCGCGGCUUAUCAGCUUGUUGGUGGGGUAGUGGCUUACCAAGGCUUUGACGGGUAGCCGGCAUGGGAGGGUGACCGGCGACAUUGGGACUGAGGUACGGACCAGACUCCUACGGGAGGCAGCAGUGGGGAAUAUUGCCCAGUGGGACGGAGCCUGAUGCAGCAACGCCGGGGGCGGGAUGACGGCCUUCGGGUUGUAAACCGCUUUCGGCUGUGACGAAGCGGGAGUGACGGUAAUGGGUAAAGAAGCACCGGCUAACUACGUG